UACGUAGGGUGCAAGCGUUAAUCGGAAUUACUGGGCGUAAAGCGUGCGCAGGCGGUUAUGUAAGACAGAUGUGAAAUGCCCGGGCUUAACCUGGGAACUGCAUUUGUGACUGCAUGGCUAGAAUCUGGCAGAGGGGGGUAGAAUUCCACGUGUAGCAGUGAAAUGCGUAGAUAUGUGGAGGAACACCGAUGGCGAAGGCAAUCCCCUGGACCUGUACUGACGCUCAUGCGACGAAAGCGUGGGGAGCAAACGAGG
rnacentral:rRNA from 1 species